GCUUAACGCGAAGAACCUUACCUACUCUUGACAUCCACGGAACUUUUCAGAGAUGCAGUUGUGCCUUCGGGAACGCUAAGACAGGUGCUGCAUGGCUGUCGUCAGCUCGUGUUGUGAAAUGUUGGGUUAAGUCCCGCAACGAGCGCAACCCUUAUCCUUAGUUGCCAGCGAGUAAUGUCGGGAACUCUAGGGAGACUGCCGGUGAUAAACCGGAGGAAGGUGGGGACGACGUCAAGUCAUCAUGGCCCUUACGAGUAGGGCUACACACGUGCUACAAUGGUACGUACAGAGGGAGGCAAGCUGGCGACAGUGAGCGGAUCUCUUAAAGCGUAUCGUAGUCCGGAUCGCAGUCUGCAACUCGACUGCGUGAAGUCGGAAUCGCUAGUAAUCGCAAAUCAGAAUGAUGCGGUGAAUACGUUCCCGGGUCUUGUACACACCG
rnacentral:rRNA from 1 species